AACGAACGCUGGCGGCAGGCCUAACACAUGCAAGUCGAGCGCACUUAUUUCCUUCGGGUUAUAGGCGAGCGGCGGACGGGUUAGUAACGCGUGGGAACGUACCCUUUACUACGGAAUAGCCUUUGGAAACGAAGAAGUAAUACCGUAUACGCCCUUUGGGGGAAAGAUUUAUCGGUAAAGGAUCGGCCCGCGUUAGAUUAGAUAGUUGGUGGGGUAAUGGCCUACCAAGUCUACGAUCUAUAGCUGGUUUGAGAGGAUGAUCAGCAACACUGGGACUGAGACACGGCCCAGACUCCUACGGGAGGCAGCAGUGGGGAAUCUUAGACAAUGGGCGAAAGCCUGAUCUAGCCAUGCCGCGUGAGUGAAGAAGGCCUUAGGGUCGUAAAACUCUUUCGCCAGAGAUGAUAAUGACAGUAUCUGGUAAAGAAACCCCGCUAAC
rnacentral:rRNA from 1 species